rnacentral:piRNA from 1 species
CUCUUCAUGUAAGCAAAGAUGGUUCCU